rnacentral:rRNA from 1 species
CAGCAGCCACGGGAAUACAGAGUGUGCGAGCGUUAAUCGGAUUUACUGGGCGUAAAGCGUGCGUAGGCGGCUUCUUAAGUCGGAUGUGAAAUCCCUGAGCUUAACUUAGGAAUUGCAUUCGAUACUGGGAAGCUAGAGUAUGGGAGAGGAUGGUAGAAUUCCAGGUGUAGCGGUGAAAUGCGUAGAGAUCUGGAGGAAUACCGAUGGCGAAGGCAGCCAUCUGGCCUAAUACUGACGCUGAGGUACGAAAGCAUGGGGAGCAAACAGGAUUAGAUACCCCAGUAGUCCCUGUCUCUUAUAA